UCUCCUCUCUCCUCUUUAUCCUUCCCUAGCCGCAUAAACACAACAACCAUCAUCGCCGGAGCUUCAAUCUUCACCAGCUGAACAAUAUGUCUGGUUCCGAUGAUGAAGAUGAGUGUUUCGCUCGAUUCCUCGAAUCGGAAGUCUCGUCGGAACAGGAAGCGAAAGAACCUGAAGCAAAACGGCAACGUAUUGAGAAAGACGGAGAAACAAACGCUGUAGAGAAGAAGGAUGAAGAUCAAAAGGAAGAUGGUAACAAAGAUAGAACUGGUGCAAAGAGAAUAGAGAGUGGAGUUCUCAGCAGUGUUCCUACGGAGCUCUUUCGUCAUAUUCUCAAGUUCUUAUCCUCUGAGGAUCUUGUAUCAUGCUCUUUGGUGUGUAGAUUUCUCAAUUUUGCUGCGUCUGAUGAAUCCUUAUGGCGUCGCCUAUACUGUAUCCGGUGGGGACUAACUCCUCCAACUAGAAAGUUACGUGAGUCUGCUUGGAAGAAGCUUUAUAUUGAUCGUGACGAGCAGGACAUGAUUGAACUUGUCAGAACAUGUCCGUCAGAUUUCAAAGAGUAUUACAUUCAAAUGCAAGCAGCAAAGAGAAGCCAAGCUCCUCUUCCAUCUGAGAUGGUGGAUGACAGAAUAAUUCUUGACAAAACUGUACUUGAACAAGUGUCUCUAUGGAAGAAAAGCAAAGGACUUGCCGAUAAGGUUGUCACUGGCCAUAUUUGUUUGGGGACUAAAUGUUCAUACCAUCAGAUUGACGAUGUGUUCAUAUGCAAAGAGACAGGAAAUGUUCAUGUAUGUGAUGACAACUGCAAGGAAGUAAUAUUGAGCCCGGAGGGUGAUCUCAUGGUGUGUACUAUCUCAGGACUUUGUUCUGAAACUUUGCUUGUACAAACUGAUCCAGACGCAGAUGGGUUCUAUGAGGAAGAAGCUGAACUAGAACUUGAAGUAUUCACAGAUAAAAGCCGAUUGGCACGAGCUUUUGAACUUGGCUACAACUGCGAAGAUGAACAGGAAUUGGAACGUACGCUGAGGUUCUGCUGAUCAAAAGUCUCAGCCUUUUGUCAAAUUUCAGAAGGUUGUAUUGUUGAUUGAUAGAAAACAUGGGAGGUGACAAUGACAAAGGUUUUCAUGGGUAUCCUCCUGCUGGAUACCCGCCGGCUCCUGGGUAUCCACCUGCUGGAUACCCGCAACAAGGUUACCCUCCACCACCUGGUGCUUACCCACCUGCAGGUUAUCCUCCAAGUGCAUACCCACCGGCGCCUGGUGGUUAUCCCCCAGCACCUGGUGGCUAUCCUCCUGCCCCUGGUUAUGGUGGUUAUCCUCCUGCACCUGGUCAUGGUGGUUACCCUCCUGCUGGCUAUCCUGCUCAUCACUCUGGACACGCAGGAGGAAUUGGGGGUAUGAUUGCAGGUGCUGCUGCUGCCUAUGGAGCUCACCACAUAGCUCAUAGCUCUCACAGCCCUUAUGGACAUGCUGCAUAUGGUCACGGCUUUGGUCAUCAUGGUCAUGGCUAUGGUUAUGGUCAUGGUCAUGGAAAGUUCAAGCAUGGGAAGCACGGAAAGUUCAAGCAUGGGAAGCAUGGAAUGUUUGGAGGCAAAUUCAAGAAGUGGAAGUGAACCAACUAAAAACCUUUUGUGAACCUCUCUGGACUGACCAAUGUCUCAAAUAAGCCCUAAACAUUAUGUAACCGAGAUCUCUGGUUCGAGGUGAAAUAAUUGAGACUUAAUUAGUAUUGAAAUCUUAUUUUGCACUGUGAAGCUAUCUAUGGCAUUAUAAUGACAGAUUCUGGUUUCGGUUUAUGGUUCUCUAUAUAUUAUGUCAUUGUAUGUACUGAUUAUUACAUUGCUUAAGCUUUGAAUAUAGAAGUUUAUGAUCAA